AGCCCAGCCACCCACUCUCUGUACCAUAUGACCAUCCCAGUAAGCAAGCCAACCACUAGAAUUUGACUGGCAUGCACCUGUGACUUACAUAAACCAGACCUCUACAUAGCCUACAUGUCUUCAUUUUGCUGGAGACUGCCCAUCAUCCUAGCCUGUUAUCUGUGAUAAAGCACACUGAAGUUAGGUUUGGAAUGCAUCCUUAUCAUGAAUGCUCUACACCUCCACCUCCAUCUCCCACAACCUAGGUAACAGCUUUGAGACUCACUAAAAGUUGAACCCCCUGAAUGAUGUAGGCUAUGGGGCCACAUAAGACUUUGUCCAUCCAGGGUUACAUUGAACGACAACUUUAAACUAAAAAACCAACAUUUUUCACACAACUCCAGGUUGUUACUACAAGUGUCAUCAAGGGAUAACUACAAGUAGAAGCACCAUUUUUGGAUGGAAAAAACCCUUCAGGAAAGUAUACGUAUCACAUGUAACAUGUAGUGUAACAAAGU